CCUACGGGUGGCUGCAGUGGGGAAUAUUGGACAAUGGGCGAAAGCCUGAUCCAGCCAUGCCGCGUGUGUGAAGAAGGCCUUCGGGUUGUAAAGCACUUUCAGUGGGGAAGAAAGCCUUGGGGCUAAUACCCUCGAGGAAGGACAUCACCCACAGAAGAAGCACCGGCUAACUCCGUGCCAGCAGCCGCGGUAAUACGGAGGGUGCGAGCGUUAAUCGGAAUUACUGGGCGUAAAGCGCGCGUAGGCGGUCUGAUAAGCCGGUUGUGAAAGCCCCGGGCUCAACCUGGGAACGGCAUCCGGAACUGUCAGGCUAGAGUGCAGGACAGGAAGGUAGAAUUCCCGGUGUAGCGGUGAAAUGCGUAGAGAUCGGGAGGAAUACCAGUGGCGAAGGCGGCCUUCUGGACUGACACUGACGCUGAGGUGCGAAAGCGUGGGUAGCAAACAGGAUUAGAUACCCGGGUAGUC
rnacentral:rRNA from 1 species